UACAGAGGUCUCAACCGUUGUUCGGAUUCAUUGGGCGUAAAGGGUGCGUAGGUGGGCAAGUAAGUCUGUCGUGAAAUCCCCGGGCUCAACCUGGGAAUUGCGAUGGAGACUGCAAGGCUAGAAUCUGGCAGAGGGGGUAGAAUUCCACGUGUAGCAGUGAAAUGCGUAGAGAUGUGGAGGAACACCGAUGGCGAAGGCAGCCCCCUGGGUCAAGAUUGACGCUCAUGCACGAAAGCGUGGGGAGCAAACGAAGGAU
rnacentral:rRNA from 1 species